GUCCUUAAGCAGAUCCAGGGGGCCUCUCACUUGGCGGCCAUACAAAAGUUCAAAAGGCGAAAAGCCAGUGGAAACCUGCGGGACCUCCCGGUAGGCGAACAGAAGGUAUGGCAGCCAUUGAUCCCAGUCAGCACCUGUGUCAGAGACAAACUUGCGCAGCAUACUUUUGAGAGUCUGGUUGUAUCUCUCCACUAGCCCGUCCGUUUGGGGGUGAUAAGGGGUGGUCUUAAGUCCCUUUAUCCCUAACAGCGUAUAAACCUGCUGCAACAACUUGGAUAGAAAGUUCGUUCCACAAUCUGUCAGAAUUUCUCUUGGUAUGCCUACCCUAGAGAAAAGCUGCAGCAGACAAUUAGCAAUGUGACGGGCUUUAAUUGAUCUGAGUGGGAAGGCCUCAGGAAACCGUGUUGCAUAAUCACAUAUGACUAAUAUGUAGCGAUGACCUGUGGAGCUCCUCUCUAAAGGGCCCACAAUAUCCAUGCCUAGCCUCUCAAAUGGUGUUUCAAUAAUUGGCAGUGGUUGCAACUGGGCUCGUGCUACUCCUUUGCCUGAGGUCAACUGACAUUUUUCACAGGAACGGCAAAACUCAGAAACCUGGACAUACAUCCCUGGCCAAACAAAACGGCUGCUGAUCCUAUUCAAUGUUUUGUGAAAAGCCAUAUGACCUGCCCAUGGAAUUGAAUGACCCAAAUCCAUAACUUUGUUUCUGAACUGUUGUGGGAGUGCUACAGCUUCGCAUAUCCCCUUUCUCUGGUACAAGAUGCCUCCUUUAAUUAGGUAAACAGUAUCUGCAAGACAGCUUACCUGACCUUGACUAGCCCCCUCUACCUCUGUUACCUUCUCAAACCAGGGUUUUAGAGUAGGGUCGCUUCUUUGGAGUGCACCUAAAUCUGAGGGAACAUCAAACUCAAGCUGGUUAUUUGGCUUAGGAAACAAUGCUGUACCUUUUUCCUCUGAGCCUUUGAACUUUUCUCUUCUUUUCUGAGCCCUAGACUUUCUAAUCUUCCCUGGCUCUGUUUUGAGAGACUCCUCAAAAAAGGGUAGCUCUUGCAUCAUUUCCUUUGCACUUUGUGCUCUUGUGACUACAUGACAGGGUUUAAAUGGUUCAACUGUCAUAUCUAGAGGAAGUGAGCCUCCAGAUUCAUCACCUAGAAUGUCUUUCUCAGCACUCAUUUGAGGGUCAUAAUCUGACUGAUGUAUUAGAUCAAAGAGAGUGGGGAUGUCAUUACCAAGUAUCACUGAAUAUGGCAAACUGGGAACCACAGCUACCACUAACAAGUAGGUUUGACCUCCCACUGUCAGGUAAACCUCAGCAGUAGGGUACCUGUGUUCAUCUCCAUGCACACAACUUAUUGUAGCCCCAACCCCACUUAGCUUUUCUCCUGAAAUUAUGCUAGAGUGUACAAGAGUUUGGAAGCACCCAGAGUCAAGCAAAGCUUCCUCUUUGCGCCCAUUAAUUAAAACAGGGACAGUACAAGCUUUCUUUCCUACUGGCUCUGUGGCUGGUCUUGGAACUGCACACAAAAGAGAUGGUUUUGACUUAAGGGCAGGGCAAAAUUGUUGUGUAUGGCCAAAGUUAUGACAGUGAUAACAUUUAAUAUCCUGAACUGAAGACUUAAAGGAUUUCUUCACAUUGUGAGGUCUAUGGGAAGGGAACUGUCUAGAACUAGAAAGAUUUCUAGCCUGAACUUGACCAGAACCCUGUUCACCCCCAAUGGACUUACUUGGUUGGGCGUAGUGGGUGUCCCGGCUGAAGUAGGUGCUCUUGCUUCCUUUUCUGGCUGAAGUGAAAACCUCUGCGAGGCUAGCUGCUUCCUUUGCCGUCUUCGGGUCAUGCUCACGUAUCCAGAUUUCCAGCUCUGGGUUAACCAUUCUUAAAAACUGCUCCAGAAUUAUCUGCUCAGAUAUUUCUUCUACAGUUGAUUUUUCAGGUUUAAUCCAUCUUGAAAACAGGUCUUUCAAUCUUACAUAAAGUUCACGUGGCGUCUCACCUGGUUCAACUUUCAUAGAUCUGAAGCGGCAUCUGUAGGUGUCAGCAGUGAUCUCAUAUUUUGCCAGAAUUGCCUCUUUCACUUUAUCAUAGUUCUCAGAGUCUGUUACAUCCAUAAGAAUGUAGGCUGUGCGGGCUUUACCUGUCAACAGGGGAACCAGACGAAUAGCCCACUCAUCUCUGGGCCAUCGACACACAUUUGCCAUUCUUUCAAAUGUAGUCAGAAAAUGUUCAAUGUCAUCUUCUGGUGACAGAGGAAAAAGUUUUGGUUCAAUUAAAGACCUGGACCCACUGGCCACUGGAAUGUCUUCACCAUUGAAUCCAUGUUCUUGUUCUUCAGAUGUUAUAGGGGGCGCUGGCGCCUCUGGUGGAUCAGGCUUAUCAAUUACAGCAUUAACUUGUAGCUGGAUUUGCUGAAAUUGAUGCUGCAUGCUUUUCCACCUUUGCUCCUGACGUGACAAAUCCUUAUCCCACUUCUGACACCACUUGUAAUAGGGCGGCCCUUAGCGGCUGGAAACACAGUGAGUUGGACGAAGGCAAGUGCAGUGGAACAAAAGUAUUUAUUUGCCAUACAGCUCUCCUUACAACAAUUAACUCCGAGCUUCUUCACAGCACAAUAUAUCCCUCUCUAAUGACAACCAGCAGCCUUAAAUAUGUUCAGCUGUCACAGACUAAACCAUUAUUCCACUCUUAGGUAAAUUCUUAAAUCCCAACCUUCCACCACAGUAUACAAUAUAUCAAUUAGGAUAAAUAAAUACAUAAAUACAUUUCACAUUUUCAUAUUAAUAAAUAUUUCACACUUUAAUUCUACACCAAACCCAAUAUUAUAAAAACCCAGAAACCCAAGCACAAAAAGAUUCACCACACUCUCUUUACCAAUGGUCUCUCCCGGAACCUUUAAAUGGUGUCUGGACCCCCGGGGAAACAUUUGCCCAAACACCCUGAAGAGGACACAGGCAAGCAAGACAACCACCACAUUCCUUGAUGAGGAGCAGCUGUGCAGGAUCUGAAUCAAGGCUACCAACUGAUUUUAAAAUUCCCAAUAAAUAAUCAAUAAAUAUUUAAACUUCUUGUGUGCAAAUGUUUUACUGUGCAAAUCCAUGCCUAAAGUGCAAUGCUAAAUAAAGUGCUUGAUAAGGUGCUUUUAAUAAAGUGAAAAGUGUGCUCUAAAGUGCUAUACAGAGAAUAUAAUACAAAUAAAUGUAGUAAGGGAGUCCUCUUCCUUACACAUGCACUAAAGAAAAAAAGCCUUUUUUUUACAUAACUGAUGAUUACUCUUUCAGCAGCUAUUACUCCAUCCUGCUGCCACUGCUCUGAAAAACGUGUUUACAGGCAGACCCGCUGUUUGAAAGCUCAAACUAAUCUGCCUGCAAUACAGUGCAAAAUGCCACCAUAAAUAUCACUUUAAUCACUGUCUCUAUAAUAGGAUAUCACCAUUGCAACCAGUGUUCCAAACCGCCUCUGGCAUUGCCAUCAGCACAGGAACUGUGCACCAGGAGCUUCACCCUAACCCUUCACAGCAUAGUUUUGAAUAGCAGAGCAACUCCUGUACAUAUAAUGUGCGGUUGGCCCUGAGACAACAUCACCAUGUUGCCCUAGUAUGAUGAAAUGCUCAUUUUUACUGAUUUCUGACAGCACAAUAAAUUCCUCCAGCAGCUAUGUGGUACACAUCUCCUCAAGCAGGAUGUCCCAACAACAAAAGACCCUCCCCUCUCCCCCUGUCCCCUCCCAGAACAGGACAUGAGUGGACAUCCUGCCAGCAGUGGUCUCUUCCUCUGUUACCGAGAAACUAUUAUUAGCGGAUAUCCAGCAUCAACUAUCCUGCAUGACAAGAUAUCCAAAUCCUUUUGGUUUAAAUAAUAUAAAGACAUAGAUGAAAAUAAUGAAGACAAAGGUCUAGAAAUCAGCCAUAUAUCUACCUUGA